rnacentral:tRNA from 1 species
GGCAGGGUAGCUCAGAUGGUUAGAGCGCAGGAUUCAUAACCCUGAGGUCGCGGGUUCAACUCCCGCCCCCGCCACCA